rnacentral:rRNA from 1 species
GACGAACGCUGGCGGCGUGCUUAAUACAUGCAAGUCGAACGGACAGGCCCUGCUCUUGCGGGGUGCUUGAGUGGCGCACGGGUGUGUAACACGCGUGUAUCCUGCCCUUGUCUUUGGGAUAACUUUUGGGAACUGGGGCUAAUAUCGGAUAUGAGAUCUUGCUGCACGGUGGUGGUUGGAAAGAUUCGGCGGUUGGGGCUGGACUGGAGGGUUCUCAGCUUGUUUGUGAGGUAGUGGCUUACCAAGUUUUUGAAGGGUAGCCGACCUGAGCGCGUGACCGGCGACAAUAGGACUGAGGUACGGCCCAGUCUCCUACGGGAGGCAACAGUGGGGAGUAUUGCACAAUAGGGGGAAGCCUGAGACGGAAGCGCCGCGUGCGGGAUAACGGCCUACGGGUUGUAAACCGCUUUCGCCUGUGACGAGGCGUGAGUGACGGUAAUGGGUAAAGAAGCACCGGCUAACUACGUG